GCCUGGGUGGCUAAGUCGGCUGAGCAUCUGACUUCAACUCAGGUCGUCUCAAAGUCUGUGAGUUUGAGCCCCACGUCAGGCU
rnacentral:tRNA from 1 species